CUGUCACAGCAGGGCGCACCUUUCAACUAAGGAACUCCGGGUGGCUGUGUAGAACCAUCCUCACCCUAGAAAGGGGGAAACUGAAAGAAAAAGCAGAACACGCCAUUAACAAGGCCAGAACCCCGACUGCCAUUCCUGGACGGGAGCCACCAACACCCGCAAAAUCGAUCGAUUCAGCCUGGGACGCUUGCUGUUUCCGAACCUCUGUUGCCACCUAUCCCAGUUUGGAGGGAAUUUUCCCAAGGAUGGUGAAGAAGGGAUUUCCACACGCCGCCUCACUCAGCCCCGCACCCCUGGCCACCAGCCAGGACUUAGGGCUUCAUGACCACACUGCUGUAGGAAGCCAUAAGUUGGAAAUCAACGGGCCUGGCUUGAAGUGUGGCCUUAGGCAACACCGUUCUCAUCUACAUCUGGAUUCUCCAACAAAGCUGGGAAAAAAACGAUCCAAGGGAAGCCAAUCAAAGAGCCUGGAUUGCCAGUCUUCCCUGCUGCGAUCUCCGCCUGCGAUUCUCCAGGGGAAAUGUCCUUUAUGACCUUACAGCUCACCUGGAACCCUCCACCUAGGGCCCGAGGCAGCACAUCCUCUCGUGCCCGGGCACUUCCAGGCAUUGCCCUGAGUACUGGGCACUUCACACACUGGGCUGGACCACUCACCGGAGUGAAUAAGGAGGCUUGAAGCUGUCCUGGUACAACAAUGGAAUGAAGCGCUAGUCUCAGCUCAGCCACUUGGAAUAUGACUCCAACUCUCACAUUUCUGUGGGGUGUAUUCAUUUCAGCUUUUUGUUUGGUGCUAUGGGGAGGGAAGGGCCCUCAGACUGGCAUCCUUUUUCUUCCAGGAUGAUGAUGAAUAUUAUGAAAGUCUGAGGCUGUUUUUAAAAUUCUGCUCUAAUACGUUGUUUUUCUGUGCAUAAGAAUUAUGUAUUCUUAGCUGCAAAACUGGAAUCCGUCUGCUCAUGGAUAAACUUCUGGCCAUGAGCAUGUACCUUUCAGGUAACUUCCCUAUCAGAGAAGCUUACAAUCAAGAAUCCUACUUCCCUAGUUCCCUACACAGGCCCAGGAGGCUUUUGGUGGUAUCCGCUGGACUUUUGAAAAUUAGGGAAUUUCUCCUACUCUGAACUCUACCAGGAAUCACAUAUCAAGAUCUCAGUACCAUCUUACCUAGACCCUCUUGACCUCUUCUUUCUCCAUAAUCUCUUUCUAGCUCAUGUCAUCCAGACUCGAGGGCCCCAUUCUCAGUUUGACACUGAGGACACCCACGCUAUUAUCUCUGGCUGUGACCUUUCCCACGAGCUCCAAAUUCACACCAUCUUUUGACGUCUCCACUUAACUUCCCCAUUUCGGUGUCUCAAACUUGACAAUUCAAAACAGAACUCCCUCCCACUUCCAAACUGGUUUCCUACCCAACUUUCCCAGGCCCCCAGUUUCUCAAGUCAGAAAUCUAUGAGUCAUCCUUGAUGUUUGCCAUUCCCUCAUCCCUCCCAUCCAACCCAUUCGUAGGCUCUUGGGAAUCUACCUCCAAAAUGUCUCUGGAAUCCAUCCUCUUCUCUCCACCUCCACUGCCAACCGCCUCUCACCUGCAAUAGCUCUGAGGCAGCCUCCCCACUUCUUCUGCCUCCCAUCCCCACCCCUACAUAUUCCUGUCCUAUCUCCACCCAGAAGCAAACAAGAUCUUCUUUAACUGUAAAUUGGUUCACAUCUCCCCUGCUUAGAACUUUCCAAGGCCUUGACAUUAUUCCAAGAUCAAGACCAAACUCUUGACUGUGGCCAGUGAGACCUUUCCUGAACUGGUCCUACCUACCUCUGCAAACCCAUCUAGUGACACCUUUCCCUUAGCUUGCCUCCAACAUAGUGUAUUAGUUUCCUAUGGCUGCUGCAGGAAAUGACACAAAUUAUCCCCUUAUAGUCGUGGAAGCCAGAAGUCCAAAAUGGGCUGGAGCCAAGGCAGGCAGGGCUAUGCUGCUUGCAGAGGUUCUAGGGGAGAAUCUAUUUCUUGGUCUUCUUUGGCUUCUAGAGCUGCAAUCCUUGGCUCAUGGCGCCUUCCUCCACCUUCAGAGCCAGCAGUGUAGCAUCUUACUUGGUGAUCACAUUUCUUUCUUCUCCAGUGUCAUAUUUCCCUUUGCUUUACAUUGUCCUUUAAAUUUCUCUUAUAAGGAAACUGCGAUUGCAUUUAAGACCCACCCAGGUAAUCCAAGAUGAUCUUCCCAUCUCAAGACCCUUAACUGAAUCCCACCUCCAAAGUCCCUUUUGCCAGGUAAGGCAACAUUCCCAGGUCCCGGGGAUUAGGAUCUACAUAUGUUCGGGAGUGACUAUUGAGCCUACCAUGCAUACCACGCUCCUUCCCUCACCAGGGUCUUUGUACCUCUUGUCCCCCAUUACUAGAAUGCUCCCUUCUUCCCUCUCACUCUUUGCUUGGCCAUAUCUUUCUCAUUCUUGGGGACACAGCUUACCUGGCACCUCCUCAGACAACCUGUCUCGGACCAGCCCCUUAACAGCCUGAAGACUUUUUUUUUUUUUUUUUUGAUACGGAGUCUUGCUCUGUUGCCCAGGCUAGAGUGCAGUAGUGUGAUCUCAGCUCACUGCAACCUCUGCCUCCCGGGUUCAAGCAGUUCUCCUGCUUCAACCUCCCAAGUAGCUGGGAUUACAGGCACCUGCUACCAUGCCCGGCUAAUUUUUGUAUUUUUAGUAGAGACAGGGUUUCACCAUGUUGGCCAGGCUGGUCUCGAACUCCCGACCGCAAGUGAUCUGCCCACCUUGGCCUCCCAAAGUGCUGAGAUUACAGGCAUGAGCCACAGUGCCUGGAUGAAGACUUUUUCAUGUCUUUUUCAACUGACUUGUUUUCUGCCUGCCUCUCCCUCCACCCUCACCUAAGCACCUUGAGGACCAUGUCUGUUUUGUCAAUCCACUGGUCAUCCUAAUAUAACUGGUUAAUAAAUCAUUGCUGAAUUUAUUUAUUU
rnacentral:lncRNA from 1 species